UUAAGCAUAUCAAUAAGCGGAGGAAAAGAAAACCAACAGGGAUUGCCUCAGUAACGGCGAGUGAAGCGGCAAUAGCUCAAAUUUGAAAUCUGGCUCUUUCAGGGUCCGAGUUGUAAUUUGUAGAGGAUGCUUCGGGUGUGGCUCCGGUCUAAGUUCCUUGGAACAGGACGUCAUAGAGGGUGAGAAUCCCGUAUGUGACUGGAAGCCUUCGUCCAUGUGAAGCUCCUUCGACGAGUCGAGUUGUUUGGGAAUGCAGCUCAAAAUGGGUGGUAAAUUUCAUCUAAAGCUAAAUACUGGCCAGAGACCGAUAGCGCACAAGUAGAGUGAUCGAAAGAUGAAAAGCACUUUGGAAAGAGAGUUAAAAAGUACGUGAAAUUGUUGAAAGGGAAGCGCUUGCAACCAGACUUGCUCGCGGUUGCUCAGCCGGUGUUCUCACCGGUGCACUCUUCCGCGAUCAGGCCAGCAUCGGUUUGGGCGGCUGGAUAAAGGCUCUGGGAAUGUGGCUCCUCUCGGGGAGUGUUAUAGCCCAGGGUGCAAUGCAGCCCGCCCGGAUCGAGGACCGCGCUUCGGCUAGGAUGCUGGCGUAAUGGUUGUAAGCGACCCGUCUUGAAACACGGACCAAGGAGUCUAACAUCUAUGCGAGUGUUUGGGUGUCAAACCCAUGCGCGUAAUGAAAGUGAACGGAGGUGAGAACCCUUAAGGGUGCAUCAUCGACCGAUCCUGAUGUCUUCGGAUGGAUUUGAGUAAGAGCAUAGCUGUUGGGACCCGAAAGAUGGUGAACUAUGCCUGAAUAGGGUGAAGCCAGAGGAAACUCUGGUGGAGGCUCGCAGCGGUUCUGACGUGCAAAUCGAUCGUCAAAUUUGGGUAUAGGGGCGAAAGACUAAUCGAACCAUCUAGUAGCUGGUUCCUGCCGAAGUUUCCCUCA
rnacentral:rRNA from 1 species